GGGGCACCAAAAAUCCAUAUUUUCCGAAUUUAAAAAAUCUGUUUAGAAUUCGGAAUUCCGAACAUGAACGCAAAACCGACACCGUUUUUACGCCGAUUAGUGCUCGGACGCCUAUGAAGUCAAUGUUCGCAACAACACCGUGAAGAAAAGAAGUAGCUUGGUUCGAUUAUAAAAGCAACGCGCCUAAGUAAAGACCUCCUCUUCUCUACUUUCACAGAUCUUCUCUGUCUUUUCGAUCAAUUACCCAAUCCAUCAACUACGCAGAGAAGAUUGGAGUUUAAUUACAUAUAAUCAAUCAUGUUGAAUAGACUAUUUGGGAAACCUAAACAGGAGUCAAAUGCCCUCGCCACGUUAGACAAGUUAAACGAGACCCUCGAAAUGCUAGAGAAAAAGGAAAAAGUACUCCUGAAAAAAGCAGCAGCAGAGGUUGAAAAGGCUAAAGAAUUCUCAAGAACAAAAAAUAAAAGGGGUACUAAUGUAUAGAGAUUGUUUAAAGUAUUUCAGUCCUUUCUUUAUGUUAGUGGUUUUCUUUAAUGCUGUAUAUUCAAGAUAUUCAAUUAAUCCUUGCGCUUAUUAUUGUAUAUGGAUAAAUAGGAGUUACCUCCAUAAAGAAAGAAGAAAAAUAGAAGUACAGAAAUAUAUUGAAAUGGGGCGCCAAGAGGGUCCCAACCCAUAUACAAAAGGAGUUACAAGUCAAUUAAUAUAUUUACAAUUAACCCCAAAUCAUCAAAAUGGUUAAUGUUAUGUUCAAGCGCAAUAGAACCAAAAA